UACGGAGGGGGCUAGCGUUGUUCGGAAUUACUGGGCGUAAAGCGCACGUAGGCGGCUUUGUAAGUUAGAGGUGAAAGCCCGGAGCUCAACUCCGGAAUUGCCUUUAAGACUGCAUCGCUAGAAUUGUGGAGAGGUGAGUGGAAUUCCGAGUGUAGAGGUGAAAUUCGUAGAUAUUAGGAAGAACACCGGUGGCGAAGGCGGCCCACUGGCUCGAUACUGACGCUGAGGUGCGAAAGCGUGGGGAGCAAACAGG
rnacentral:rRNA from 1 species